GAUAACUGAGAUAUUUUUUUUUCUAAAGUGUUCUGUUUGUUUCUCUCACAUCGAGACAAAUUAGGGUUUGACUGUGAAUCUAGUUGAUUCACGGAUCUGGUGAUUCUAGGUGUUUGUCUGUUAAAGUUCAUCAAGCAGAUGAUCCUGUGAGAGUUGUGAGAAUUUGUUCAGUUAUUUCAGUUUAUCUAUCUGUUCGUUGUAUCAGUUGAAAUACUUUUCUAGGGUUAAUAAACUUUCGGUUUGGGUAUUUUGAGUUGCUUCGCUUUGAUAUCAUCUUCUUGACAUGGUAUCAGAGCCAUGGCUCUGGUGGAUUGUUAUUCAUCCUCUUGUUCUUCCGCUGACGUUUUGAGGUGUAUUAGGGUUUUUUGGUUUUCAAAUAUAAAAAACCUGGUUGCAUCAUUCUUUUAGACGACUGAGUUGUAAAGAUGACUCUCUUUUCGUUCAUGGCGUUUGCCAGAAGCCUGGACGUCUCACAAGGGGACGAGUCUCUGUGGGAUUACAUGGUUCUGGCGAUUUUGCCCUAAUUUCCGUCAAACCAUUGCGAUCAAUCGAAUCAAAAUCACAAAAAAGUCUCCAAUCGAUGACCUACAUAAAGCUGAUUCACAAGAUCAACUGCUGAAAUCCGAUAUUUGUUUCAUGUUUUCAACGAUUUCUGCUUCAUAUUUCCAGAUUCUACACUAUUCGAACCCAAAUCGAACAAUCGGAACAUAGAUCUGUGAAGUUGGAACCGAAUCUCUCACGGUUUUUCAAGAUUCAAGCGUCGGAAGAGGUUUUUGCAGCAAGCAGGAGAGUUAGGGCGUGCUAAUUUCUUCGGUUUUUGUUGUUAUUGAAAGUUAAAAGUUCGUGUAGCGUGUUAUUCAAAGAAUCUACGCAGAUCGAUCGAUAUUUUGAACGGAUGGUUGUCGUUUAGGGCUUGUUCGAGUUGAAACGCUUGUGAUCUGGAUAGCAGUUUAUAUUGGGGCUUGGGGCUCUCGUAUUUCUUAGUGAAUGAUACGGCUGACUGUAUGUGCUAUUGUCUUCUUUACACAGUAAAAUCAAAGUGAAGCCGACCGAUUUGCCAUUUAAGAUUUAUCACAUCUGGAAAGUCUCAUAUUCCUAAAGUGAAGUGUCUGGUCCAUUGAAUAUCACAACUGGAAGUUUUUUUACGCUUUACAAAGAUAGCAAAGUGUUUCUGCCGUCUUGGUUUGCAUCUUGUAAGAGUGCUGGUCACCCUAAAUGAAGGUGUAUCGGGUUAGCUUGACAUUAAAGCACUGGUUGGGGGGAGGGGUCAUUCAUGUUACAGGCACCUGAUAUGGGAUGACAGAUACAUUGAAGAUCAAAUUGUGUCAAGAUUAGGAUGGACACAAAGACAUAAUGAAACUGGUGUAAUAAAUGGAUGUCAAACACUGGUUCUAUAAAAGGAUGUCAAAACACUUGAUAAAGGAUAAGGAUGGUCACAUUCAAAUUGGUGCAGCUCACAAGCAAUGAGAAAGGGUAAGGUGUACCUAGCCCACAAGCACAUUAGUCCAGCUCCUCUAUUCACUACAAUGGUGCAGGCAAUACAACUACAUUAUCUCAUCAGAUGGUUUCAAAUACUUAGCUCACAUUUUUGGACCAUAUAGUGUCUCAUAUUCUCUUUGACUUAAUUCAUAUACUUAUGCUACUAAGACAAAUGGCGUAAUUUUUCAAAUGAAGUAAAGAUAUCCGAGUGUAUCAAAGCAGUCUUCAAGAAUCUAGAUAUUAGGUGCUACUUUUGUUUUUAAUGUUUAUUGGUUAUUUAAUUUUUAUUUAUUAUCCAGGUUGUUGUGUGGGUUUUGUGGAAAAACAGGAACAAUGUUGUGUUUAAUGACAAGCAGUCGGAUUUUUCAAGGUUAAAGAAAUAUGUAAAAAUUUAGGGUAUCUUUGUGUUAAGCAUAGGUUGAAACGGGUGACUUAAGCUGAGAUGACUGGUGCAGUUUCGAUUUAGCCCGCUUGAGGGUUUGAUGUAAUGUUGUUUUUGGUGUAAUAUUGUGCGGUUUUUUUGGUGUACUUUGUAUGAAUGUUGG
rnacentral:lncRNA from 1 species